rnacentral:lncRNA from 1 species
ACUGAAUACUAUCAUCCAUGUUAUCUUCACUUACUACAUCAUCUUCCUCAAAUAGCUGAUUAUCUAUAUGAACUAUAUCGUCGCAAUUGUGAAAAUUAAAGAUUGUCUGAUAAUAGUACCUGGCACAUCAAUAUCCAUUGUAGAGAACUAGUCCUCUGUAUGUCUCGAACUCUAAGUCACUAGGACAUUAUCAAUCAUAUAUGGACUAGAGGCUCC